GCCCAGCUAGGUCAGUCGGUAGAGCAUGGGACUCUUAAUCCCAGGGUUGUGGGUUCAAGCCACAUGUUGGGCA